GGGGAUUUGGCUCAGUGGUAGAGUGCUUGCCUAGCAAGCGCAAGGCCCUGGGUUCGGUUCCCAGCUCCG
rfam:Rattus norvegicus chromosome 3, whole genome shotgun sequence.